CUGGCUCAGGAUGAACGCUAGCGGCAGGCUUAACACAUGCAAGGUCGAGGGGCAACGCGAGUAGCAAUACUUGGCGGCGACCGGCGCAAGGGUGCGUAACGCGUGAGCAACAUGCCCGUAUCAGGGGGAUAAUCCAGGGAAACUUGGUCUAAUACCCCAUAGUAAUUUUGUAAGGCAUCUUAUAAGAUUUAAAGCUUUGGUGGAUACGGAUUGGCUCGCGUGACAUUAGCUGGAUGGUAAGGUAACGGCUUACCAUGGCUAUGAUGUCUAGGGGUUCUGAGAGGAAGGUCCCCCACACUGGAACUGAGACACGGUCCAGACUCCUACGGGAGGCAGCAGUGAGGAAUAUUGGACAAUGGAUGGAAAUCUGAUCCAGCCAUGCCGCGUGAAAAGGAAGAAGGUCCUAUGGAUUGUAAACUUCUUUUGUAUGGGAGCAAUAAGGCCUACGAGUAGGUUGAUGAGAGUACCAUACGAAUAAGCACCGGCUAACUCCGUGCCAGCCGCCGC
rnacentral:rRNA from 1 species